CAGGUGCUGCAUGGCUGUCGUCAGCUCGUGUUGUGAAAUGUUGGGUUAAGUCCCGCAACGAGCGCAACCCUUAUCCUUUGUUGCCAGCGAUUAGGUCGGGAACUCAAAGGAGACUGCCAGUGAUAAACUGGAGGAAGGUGGGGAUGACGUCAAGUCAUCAUGGCCCUUACGACCAGGGCUACACACGUGCUACAAUGGCGCAUACAAAGAGAAGCGACCUCGCGAGAGCAAGCGGACCUCAUAAAGUGCGUCGUAGUCCGGAUUGGAGUCUGCAACUCGACUCCAUGAAGUCGGAAUCGCUAGUAAUCGUGGAUCAGAAUGCCACGGUGAAUACGUUCCCGGGCCUUGUACACACCGCCCGUCACACCAUGGGAGUGGGUUGCAAAAGAAGUAGGUAGCUUAACCUUCGGGAGGGCGCUUACCACUUUGUGAUUCAUGACUGGGGUGAAGUCGUAACAAGGUAACCGUAGGGGAACCUGCGGUUGGAUCACCUCCUUACCUUAAA
rnacentral:rRNA from 1 species